rnacentral:rRNA from 1 species
UACAGAGGUCUCAAGCGUUGUUCGGAUUCAUUGGGCGUAAAGGGUGCGUAGGUGGCGCUGUAAGUCGGGUGUGAAAGCCCUCGGCUCAACCGAGGAAGUGCAUUCGAAACUACUGAGCUUGAAUACUGGAGAGGAUCGCGGAAUUCCCGGUGUAGAGGUGAAAUUCGUAGAUAUCGGGAGGAACACCAGUGGCGAAGGCGGCGAUCUGGACAGAUAUUGACGCUGAGGUGCGAAAGCGUGGGGAGCAAACAGG